GUCGUAACAAGGUUUCCGUAGGUUCUUAGGAUCUCAUUGGUUCAUACUGCGGAAGAUAGUCGGACUGAAAAGGUUAUGCCGGCUAGUCUGAGCUUUUGCUCGGGCGACACUCCUGGAUGCGGGAAGCCCUCUAAUUGGUUCUUUUGCUACUAUCUCCACUUGGAAACUUGUGGAGAGAUCUCGGUUAAUGGCCGAACCCGAUAGUAAUCAACGCAAAAGAAUUUACGGGUAAUCCGCAGGCGAGCAGCUAAACCCGCUAUGAUAGGGCAUGCUGCCGUUUCAGAGACUGCAAAGGAGUGGGCUUAGCGUUCGAAUUGGCUAAUCACCAAUGAGCUGGGCCUAAGGUACAGUCCACGCCGUAGUAAUAGUAAAGCUACGGAUAUUGGGAUAACUGCUUGUCAGUUACUCAGUUUUAACGGAGGUGAACCUGCGGAAGGAUCAUUAUCACACUAUCCAAACCUUACUUCCCCGUGAAGAGGUGCUUGGUGCUUGUCUGCCGAUACACUGGCAGCGGGCGUCGGGUGCCAAACUUACAAAAACCAAAACCAGGCGCCAAAGCAGGCCCAGCCUCGGCUGGUUGGCUAGCCGCGGUGCCGCCCAUUACCGAACUGAAACUGUAACUGAAUCUAAACUGCCUUUGGAGCUAGUCUCUUCUGGCUGUAAAAUCUAUUACAACUUUUAGCAAUGGAUGUCUUGGGUCCCACAACGAUGAAGAACGCAGCGAAAUGCGAUACGUAAUGCGAAUUGCAGAACUUCGUGAAUCAUCAAAAUUUUGAACGCACAUUGCGCUACUGAGUAAUCUCAGUAGCAUGCUUCUCCGAGUGUCUCUAAACCCCACUCAGCCGCUGCUGCACUUUACUGUGCCCGCAGCGAGCUGGACUGUGAUGGUGUUUGGCCUCGCUGCCGAACUCCGUUCAAGUUCAUUGGUUUGUUGUUGACGCCCUCGCCGGCCGAACGCAGAUCGCAACUAGAUUUGGUAGGUGCACUUUAUGUGUAUUUUGAAUCUGGCUUGUGCUUUGCCAAGGCUAUCAAGAGCGUUUCCAGCGAAGUGGGCUUCUAGCAUUGCGCUGGCUUGCCCGGAAUGAAUGUACCUCAUCUUGGGUCUCGGCUGAAGCAAGACGACCGGCCGAAUUUAAGCAUAUAAUUAAGCCGAGGAAAAGAAACUAACAAGGAUUCCCCUAGUAACGGCGAGUGAAGCGGGAAGAGCUCACCAUGUGAAUCUGCGCAACCAGCAAUGGUGCGCCGAAUUGUGGUCUGAAGAAGUAUUGUCGGCCGUGAUUCCGGGCCAAGUCUCUUGGAAAAGGGCAGCUGAGAGGGUGAAACUCCCGUUCUUGCCUGGAAUCAUUGCGCUCUGGCACAUGCUUUCUACGAGUCGAGUUGCUUGGGAUUGCAGCUCAAAUUUGGUGGUAAAUUCCAUCUAAAGCUAAAUAUUGGUGGGACACCGAUAGUGUACAAGUACCGUGAGGGAAAGAUGCAAAGAACUUUGAAAAGAGAGUUAAAGAGUACCUGAAAUUGUUAAAAGGGAAGCGAAGGAAACCAGUGUUAAGCGAAGCCAUUCUUCCCAAGCUACUUGUGGUUUGGGCGCUGUGGUUAGCUGUAGUCAGCAUUGGCUUGAUCUGGGGGAAACGUUUAGUGGGUAGACGACUCUUCGGAGUGAGUGCCCACUCUUCAUAUCCUGGAUCGGGCUGAGGUCAGUCACUCUGUGCUCGUGAUGCUGUCGAAAUGGUUUUCUUUACCCCGUCUUGAAACACGGACCAAGGAGUCUAA
rnacentral:rRNA from 1 species